rnacentral:rRNA from 1 species
UCGUCAGCUCGUGUCGUGAGAUGUGGUUAAGUCCGCAACGAGCGCAACCCUCGACCUUAGUUGCCAGCAUUCAGUUGGGCACUCUAAGGUGACUGCCGGCUAAAAGUCGGAGGAAGGUGGGGGAUGACGUCAAAUCAUCAUGCCCCUUAUGACCUGGGCUACACACGUGCUACAAUGGGCGGUACAAAGGGUCGCGAACCCGCGAGGGGGAGCCAAUCCCAAAAAGCCGCUCUCAGUUCGGAUUGCAGGCUGCAACUCGCCUGCAUGAAGCCGGAAUCGCUAGUAAUCGCGGAUCAGCAUGCCGCGGUGAAUACGUUCCCGGGCCUU